GGCCGCCUGGCAUAAUGGCAAUGCGUCUGACUACGAAUCAGGAGAUUGCAGGUUCGACCCCUGCGGUGGUCA
rnacentral:tRNA from 1 species